GAAAUAAUUUACAAAAAAAUAUAGCUAUAUAGUUUGUCGCCACGCACAUGCUAUAAGUGAAGUUAAAUUAAUGUAUCUCUUAUUAAUCUGGGACAAAAACAUUUUUUCCCAAAAAGUUAAGGCUGAGACAUAGGUGUCUAGUUUGUCCCUCUAUCGAACUUUAACCUCUCGAACUCCCUCCUUCCAUUGGACAAAGUGCAGAAAAAAGAAAAUACAACUUUCUGCAUCAAUUGUAAUUAGAUAGCUUACAGCUAGACAUUUUUACUUCAUGACAAGCCGUUGGUGUCGACCCUUUCUGCUAAAACUAAUGCAUCAUUAUAUCUCUCACCAAAAUUGCAUUAUUUGAAUUGGCUACUACUGUGUAUUGUAAGUGGUAACGAAUAUGACUUCUGUCAAAAUUCUGUGAAGAUCUACAAUGAAUGUUGUUUACCCAGCAGGUGGAUAUGACGUCACGGAUUUGGAACAUCAGAAAAUAACAUCCAAAUUCGCGAUAAUUUUUUCUUUCCAUGCGAAUUAAAAUGUAAUAACAUUAGAAAGAGCUCGCUCUCUUAUUCGAGACAGAACGUGGCGUGAAGUCUAGAUUAUUUUAACGGUAACAGCGCUCUCCGUGAAUGCAGCAGAGAUGUAUCCUCGCAGUUAAAGUUAGUCCCCCAAGCGGAGUAAUGUUGGUAGUAUUUACAGUGUGAAUAUUGCAUGCUUACUUGGUAUACAAGAUCGAGUGUACAUUUCAUUAUCUCUAGCACAGAAUUGUCUACUGCGUGCACCUACCAUUGUCGAUUGGUGUAAUCUGUGAACUCCUGAUGGUCCCGCCUCUGAAGACCCUGAGCUGAAUUUUCAUUGGAAGAAUGGAACGCCAGUCUUUCCUACACAAGUGAACACGUGGGUGCUCUGAUUGGCUGAAUACUUUCUGCACUGUUGUCUGGCUGGCUGCCAGCGCCUGCCUUGCCCCUGAUCAGAAGUGAACGUGACAUUUGUGCGGAGCCUGGAGACUCCAGUGGUGACCCCCUGUGGAGACAGAGAUCAAAACCAGCAUCCAUUUCCAGGAGGAAUGUUCAAACAAGACCACCACCCAUUUUAGGAGGAAUGUUCAAACAAGACCACCACCCAUUUUAGGAGGAAUGUUCAAACAAGACCACACCAAUUUUAGGAGGCAUGUUCAAACAAGCCCACC
rnacentral:lncRNA from 1 species